rnacentral:tRNA from 1 species
UCCCUAGUGGCUCAGAUGGUAAAGAAUCUGCCUGCAAUGCAGGAGACCUAGGUUCGAUCCCUGGGUCAGGAA